rnacentral:lncRNA from 1 species
AGCAGGGGUGACACCGUCUCUCCAUUCCCUGGAGCCGAGGGGAGCAACCACUGUUAAGGGCAGAAGAGCCAGAGUAACAGAAACUGGGAAGCCCUGCUUGCCUGCACCAGUAGCAUGGGGAACUCUUUAAAGCCCUUGCAAAGCUCUGCCACUGAGGCUUUAACACUCAGUGGGGUGGGCUGGGUGGGUAAGGCCACUUCCACUUUGCAAGUGACAGAACAAAAACCCAAAGUGAGUUACCUGAGCCAUGGUGGAUUGGACAGAUCCAAGAUGAUAACCCACGCUUGAGGCUCCAUACUCUGUGCUCCGUGAACCAUCCCAAAGGAUCUCGAGGGAAAGACCCCAAACAGGCUUUCCAGGGCAGGGCCAGCCAGGGUAGAGAAGAGGGCCAAGCUUUGGGGGCUUCAGACUCCAUGGACACAGGGCAUUGAACUUGGGAGUUUGAAGCGGAUUCCUGUCUCGGUUUCCCGCGUAUCGGCAGUUGGAAUCGUGAACAAAUGACAGCGACUUCCUGAACUGCUUCUGGAAUAAAACCUGUCUGCCUGUAUCAUAGGCAGAAAUGGAUGAGGUCAGCUAUUUGAAAUCCCUUUGUAAAGUGUGACGUGCUCCAAGCAAGGAAGUGGGUAUGGAUCCUCCUUCUCAUUCCUCUCUGGAAUCUCCUUGGGAGAGCCCAGAUCACAGGGGUCAGGAGUCCCCUUAAUUUGUCCCCAAGCCAGGCCGGGAGCAGAAUCUCCUCAGCAUCCACUUCAGAUGCUUUUCUGGCUGAGCAGUGCUCGCCAUCAUCCUGCAUUUAUCCUCAGGAUGGUAGAGAGAAGUGGAACAGACCACCAGCCCCUUAACUGUCCGGAGGAAUCUGCAUCCUGAGGUCCCCAGGCCAGUGCUCUUUCCACAAUACACACCAUCCGGAAAAGGGUGUUCCUCUCCGGGCCCCUGCCCCGCACCCUCACUGCAUCCUCCUGGACUGAGAAAAACUCUGGAGGUAGAAGUUGGCAGUUUAGCUCGCCUUGGAAGGACCCAGAAAACUGAAGUGUCACUGGAGUUCUCAUUGGCUGAGCAUCCAGGACCAGGUGGGAGAAAGCGUCGACUCUGGGGGAGGAAAGAAGCUGCAAGGAAGAGGAGAAAAGUUGGAAGUGUCCAGCAUGUAACGUAUUUAAAACUUUAACCAUCUCCUUUUGUUCCAAUUGAGCACAUUUCUCAACCUCAUAUUUUCACACCUUUCUGAGCAGAGUAUGAUCUGAUGAUCAUUAAUGGAUACAAUUAUGUUUCAAUUAACCAGAAACUCUUAUAAGGACUGAGAAUCAUGGAUAUUGGAAACUCUUCUGAAACUAUUUUAGAAAAAGAACCAUAUACCCAGUAUUUUUAGGGCAUUGUCUAAAUAGAAAUCUUAGUAUGGUUAGUAAAUAAAAAGUAUAAGCGUGUAUAUGUAUUUAAAACU